rnacentral:rRNA from 1 species
UGAAUCGAUUUAGUUUGAAUUAAUUUUUUUAUUAAUAAUUUAGUUUUAUUUUAUUUAAUAGAAAUAAUUUUAUAGGUGCAGAUUUAAGUAAAUUUUAUUGAAAUAAUCUUUUUUAUGAUAGUUUAGUAGUAAAGUAAUUGAAUAUUGAAGUAUAGGAUUGUAUUUUGUAAAGUAGAAUUGAAUUUUUGUACCUUGUGUAUCAGGGUUUAUUAAAUUAAUAUUAAAUAUUUAGUUUUCUCGAAUUUAAAAGAUUUAAUAAAGUAUUUUUUUUUCUGUAGCAAAAUAAUUUAAAAUAUUUUAUUGGAGGUGAAAGGUUAUUCGGUUUUAAAUAUAUCUAGUUAAUUUAGAAACAAAUUUAAUUUGAAUAUAAUUUAUUUAAUUGAAUAUAGUCUUAGUAUUUAAUUAAUUUUUAUAUUAAUAGUUAAGGGGAUAAGCUUUUAAUUAAAGUUUUAUAAAUAUAAAUAAUUUUCAGAGGUAUAGGUUUAGAAUUAGCCUUUAUAUUUAUUUUGUUAUAAAUAAUCUGAUUGGGUUAAUUAUUUUUAUUUUUUUAAAUUUUUUAUAGAUUAGUUGUUUAAAAUUUUAAAAAUUAAGUUAUAAUGAUUGAAUUAGUAUAUUAAAAUUGUUUAUUUUAUAUUUGAUGAUAUGUUAAAUAAAGGAAUUCGGCAAAUUAUUACUCGCCUGUUUAUCAAAAACAUGUCUUUAAGAAUUUAAUUUUAAGUCUGGCCUGCCCAGUGAUUAUUAAUUUAACGGCUGCAGUAAUUUGACUGUACAAAGGUAGCAUAAUCAUUAGUUUUUUAAUUGAAAGCUUGUAUGAAGGGUUGGACGAAGUAAUAUCUGUCUCUAUUUAAGUUAAGUAGAAUUUAAUUUUUAAGUUAAAAAGCUUAAAUUUUUAUUAAAGACGAGAAGACCCUAUAGAUUUUUAUAAUUGUUAGAAGGAAUUUUUUUUAUAUUAUUAUUUUUUUUUAUUAUUAUUUUAUUGGGGUAAUAUAAAAAUUGGAUUAAUUUUUUAUUUUGGAAUAAAUUUAUUUAUUAUUAAAUGUUCCCUUUAUAAGGAUUAAAAGAUUAAAAUACCUUAGGGAUAACAGCGUAAUUUUUUUGGAGAGUUCUUAUCUAUAAGAAAGUUUGCGACCUCGAUGUUGGAUUAAAGAAAGUUAUAGGUGUAGAAGUUUAUUAACUGGGUCUGUUCGACCUUUAAAUCUUUACAUGAUCUGAGUUCAGACCGGCGUGAGCCAGGUCGGUUUCUAUCUUUAUAAAGUUAAUAUUAAUUUAGUACGAAAGGACCAAUUAAUAGGUAUAUAUGUAUUUAAUUUUUGGAUAUUAUUAGUUACUUUGGCAGAUAAGUGUAAUGAAUUUAGAAUUCAUAAAUGUAUGGAUUAUAUACA